AAACUUUCAACAAUGGAUCUCUUGGUUCUCGCUUCGAUGAAGAACGUGGCAAAAUGCGAUAAGUAGUGUGAAUUGCAGAAUCAGUGAAUCAUCGAAUUUUUGAACGCACAUUGCGCUUCUUAGUAUUCUAGGGAGCAUGCCUGUUUGAGCGUCAUUU
rnacentral:rRNA from 1 species